CUAACCUAAGUGGUUAGAGAAUCCGCCUCUGAUGCGGAAGGUCACGGGUUCGAACCCAGUCCGA